rnacentral:rRNA from 1 species
AUUGAACGCUGGCGGCAUGCCUUACACAUGCAAGUCGAACGGUAACGCGGGGCAACCUGGCGACGAGUGGCGAACGGGUGAGUAACGCAUCGGAACGUGCCCAGUAGUGGGGGAUAGCCCGGCGAAAGCCGGAUUAAUACCGCAUACGACCUACGGGUGAAAGCGGGGGAUCGCAAGACCUCGCGCUAUUGGAGCGGCCGAUGUCAGAUUAGGUAGUUGGUGGGGUAAAAGCCUACCAAGCCGACGAUCUGUAGCUGGUCUGAGAGGACGACCAGCCACACUGGGACUGAGACACGGCCUAGACUCCUACGGGAGGCAGCAGUGGGGAAUUUUGGACAAUGGGCGCAAGCCUGAUCCAGCCAUGCCGCGUGCGGGAAGAAGGCCUUCGGGUUGUAAACCGCUUUUGUCAGGGAAGAAACGCUCUGGGCUAAUACCCCGGGGUAAUGACGGUACCUGAAGAAUAAGCACCGGCUAACUACGUGCCAGCCGCCGCCGUAACAC